UGGGGAAUAUUGCACAAUGGGGGAAACCCUGAUGCAGCGACGCCGCGUGAACGAAGAAGGUAUUCGUAUCGUAAAGUUCUGUCCUAUGGGAAGAUAAUGACAGUACCAUAGAAGAAAGCUCCGGCUAAAUACGUGCCAGCAGCCGCGGUAAUACGUAUGGAGCGAGCGUUGUCCGGAAUUAUUGGGCGUAAAGGGUACGCAGGCGGUUUAAUAAGUCGGAUGUUAAAGAUCGGGGCUCAACCCCGCAAAGCAUUGGAAACUGAUAAACUUGAGUAGUGGAGAGGAAAGUGGAAUUCCUAGUGUAGUGGUGAAAUACGUAGAUAUUAGGAGGAAUACCAGUAGCGAAGGCGACUUUCUGGACACAAACUGACGCUGAGGUACGAAAGCGUGGGGAGCAAACAGG
rnacentral:rRNA from 1 species